rnacentral:lncRNA from 1 species
GGACGUCUCUUGAGUAACUCCUGAGGUUGACCUCUGACCUCCACAUGCACUCAGGCGUAUGAGUGUGCAUACUCUCACACACACAUAAAAAUCCAAAAUACACAGUAGAACAAAAGGCCUAAACAGCCUGGAUGCUUGUCCCGAAGUGAGGAGAGGGUGACAGUGUAGUUACAAAGUUUGGGAUAAUUAAAGACCAUAAGACUUGUAUACAGGGAUAUAGAAAAAACAAUGGAGCUGAAGGCAGAGCCAAGAACAGACUCACAUGCUUAAAGCAGAAUCUUGACUGGAAGAUGGGUGUGGUGGUGAACGCCUGCAGUCCCAGCGCUUGGAAGGCCUGGGCAGGAGAUUGAGAGAUUGAAGCCAGCCUGGACUACAUAACAAAACACUUGACAAAGAAAAGGAGAAGAAAACAAAAGAAACUUCAUUGAGUCAGAAAUAGCAUAAAACUGGAUGGACCAUCCAACAAAAUGGUACUGGCUCUGUGGUUAUCCACAUGAAAAGAUAGCAAUCUGGACAGUCAUCGCUAAUUGAUACACACCUCAUGUCCUAGAAUCUCCCUGUAGGCGGGUUAGACUUAAAUGUGACAGGCUAACCUUUUACAACUGUAAGAAAUCAUAGGAGAAAUGUCCCUGUAAACUAGUAGAGGAAAGGCUUUUCUGUGCUCAAUAUUAAAGUACACACCAGACAGGAAAUGACUGGUAAAUUAGUCUACAUUAAAUUUUAGAAUGUCUUUUCCUCAAAAUACUUCCCAAAAAGGAAAAUCUAAUCUAAUCCAAAGCCUGGAAAUAUUUGCAGUAUAUACAACUGUCAAGGGAUAGAAUCGGAAUACAUUAAAAACUUCUAUGAAUCAGUCCAUUAAAGACAACCCAAUAAAAAAAUCUGGACAAAGUCAUAAGUGGGCAUUUUACAGGAGAAUAAAACCUAAUAUACCUAAUAAAUGUGUGUUGGGGGGUCAUCUUAGCAAUUAGGAAACAGCAAGUUAAAUUGGAAUGAAAUGUGAUUUUUAAAUCUUUCAAAAACUGCAAAAAUCUAAUAAAUCGGAUGAUAUCAAAUGGAUGAGAGACAAAGAAAUUCUUAGGUGCUACAAUUACCUAAAGUGAGACUAUCAACACAGGGGAAAAUAUGCAUUCUACAGUUGAUGCUAAUACCAUAUAAGCUGGCCGGUUCGCUCCUAGACACAGACCCUAGAGAAAACAUAGCUCAGAUGUUCCAGGAGUCACACAAGAAUGUUCAUAGCAGCCUGGUUGCCAUAGCAAAACACUGAAAACACUCUCUCUGUCCAAGAACAGGAGAAUGGAGAAAUUCACAUGAGGGAAAAUGAAUGAACUCCAAGAGCAGCCUGACUCGGUCCAGGAGCCUGGUUUUGAAUAAGAAAAGUAAAUCCUAACGGUAAACAGAAAGUAAGCCAAGGCUGAAAGAUCAAAACCUGAAGAACACAACCAAGUAUCUAGGCAAGCAGGUGCCCGUCAAUAUGAAAAAUGAAAGCCAGAGAAUGGUAAACAAGUCCCGAUGAUAGGCGUUUGGGGCAGGAGAAAAUGUUUUUCUAUUCUGUCACCGUAUAACAAAUUACUCCCAGACUUCACUCAGAUAUUAAAUAAUAGGAUAGUCACUCACCACUUAGUUUCCAGGGACUAGAAGCCCGGGUCCUCCUCCAUCUCCAGGACUCUCCGCAGUGGUGUUGGAUCUGCCAGGAGGGGGGAGAGGCAAUUGAGGAAGGAUUCGCUUCCACUUUCCCCUUAUUACUGGGCUGAGAGUUCUGGAUCCCCCAGUAGUUUGCCCUUGAUUUUUUUUUUUUUUUUUUUUUUAAUGCUCAGGGAAGCUCUAAACCUCUAAAUGCUUUACCCCGCUGCCUAUGGAAAGAGCCUGGUGUGUAGCACUUUUGGGGACCCAUUCUCUCCAGCUCCUCAUCUUUCCCCAUCCACUGACUGCACCCUACCUGUCUCUUGGGCAGGUUGACUAACCAAUCUCCUGGUGAACAGGGCUUUCUCCCUGUUUAUAUCUGAGUGCCUGACCCAGGACCCACCCAGCUCACGAGCAGAGGAAGCAAUGUGGACCAAGAGAAAAGCUGGGGGCAUUCUGCAGUGAAAUGUGUUGCCAUGACAAAGGAGUAAAAGGGCUGUAAAGUUCCCAGUAGUGUGAGGUUAUAAAGAAUAGGGGGAGGGGUGAUCACGUUUUUUUUUUUUUUUUUUUAAAGAACUUUGGAAUUUCAGACAAUGGAUUGUAUAUUUCUGCUUGCUUGAAAUAUCCAUCAUUGGGAGAUGUUUCCUUUUUCCAAAUGAGACUUCUCAUCUUGAAAAAAAAAAUCAAACCUACAGAAGUUUUUAAUCUAUGUCCUUCAUUUAUUAACUCAUUUGUUAACAUCUUGGUACAUUUACUCUGUGUGUGUGCAUGCAUACAGCACACACUUGUGAGCUAGGUGAGAAUCCUUGAAGAUGUCCACAUCCUGAUGUCAGGACAUGUGUAUAUGGCAAGGAAGGAUUCAGGCUCUUAGUCAGCAGACCUUAAGCUAAUACACUAUCCUGGACUAUUAAGUCCAGUCACAAGUGUCUUUGUAGUUGGGAAGAAAGAGAGAGAAGAAUCAGGACCAGAGAGAUAUUGUGAGAAAGAUUCAACCAGCUCUUAUUGGUGUUUUAAGAUGAAAAGUUCAUGAGCCAAAGAAUGCAAGCAAAUUCUGGGAACUGAAAAGGGCCAAGAAAAAAAGGCUGGAGUUUCCAGAAAGGAAUGCAGCCUAGUGGGGCCCAUCUCAGACCCCUGGCUUUCAUGACAACAAAACAACAGUUUCUUGGGAUGUCUGCUUCCUACGGAUGGAGUUGUGCACAUUGGUAUCUUUCAAGGCAUUUUCCCAUUUCUUCUGCAUUAUCAAAUACACAAAGCUGUUCCCAAAGCUGUGUACAGGGUCAUGUGUUAACUUUUCACCACUGCGACAAUUGCCUGAGAAGAACACUUGAGAGGAGGAAAGAUUUAUUUUGGCUCACAGUUUCAAAGCUUUCAGUCCCGGUUUCUGGGUUUCUGUCUCCAUUGUUUUUGAGGGACGCUGAGUUCAGUUGUUCAGAGGGAGCCCGAGGGAUGCAUCCUCUGACUGUCAUCAGCCAUGCUGGGUGGACCUUUCUACGAUGCAGCUACCACUGACGUCACAUCCUGUAACCAGCCUCUCGCUGUAGUCCUGUAUGGAACCCAAGAAGCUCACUGGGUCACUACGCAAGAUUGGGGUUGUAUCAUGUUUCCGUUGUGGGUGCCUUAUCGGGUUGAUAGCCCUCCGUUCUUUCAGGAAAAACAAAAAAUCACACACGUUUCUUGUUCAGAACCUAACAGUAAGAUAAAAGGUUUUCUGUUACC